CUCUCUCUCUCUCUCUCUCUCUCUCUGGCUUAUGUUGUGUUUCUAUUACUUUCUUGGUUUCUCUUGUGACUUCAACCCCUUGAUAUGGGGAUGGAACCCCAUCUGGUGUAUAAUUGGGUCUCUUCUAAUACCCCUUCCUCUGGACAUUCCCCCAAACCCCCGCCCCCAUUUCCAACCCCCACACUAUCAAGCUUCUCCUGCUCCUAUUGACCCAAGUCUCUUUUCCCCCUGUUUUGAACUUAGUUUAUUAACCACAAAUAAUUUUAGGAGCAUGCCUCGUAAAGGAAAUUAUGGAUUUAAUUAUGAUGAAGACUAUGGUGCCUAUGAAGAUUAUUUUGAUGAUUCAGAUAUAGAAAGUGAUGUAGGAGAAGUACUUGAGGAAGAGCAAGAAGUUAUCAAGCCUGGGACCUGGCGAUGCUCUAUUUGCACUUAUGAUAAUGAUGAAAGCAUGCCCUUCUGUGAUAUAUGCGAGGUUUUCAGGGAGCCUGUCAGCAUUUGUAACAGUGGCAAUAAGAGAACAGUUCACAUGUGCAAAGAGUCUGGAGCAUCCGUUAUGGCCAAGUCUCUUUUUGCCUCAUUGUCUCGUCAGACGCAGAAAAUGGCCAUAACCGUUCAGAGACAGAAUGAUGAUUUUGUGAGGAAAGAGAAAAAUAACGUCUGCAGGAUUGAGAAUACCCAAGGAGAUUUUUAUGAUUUUCAUAAUGCUUUUAAGCCUCCACCUUGCAAUUACCCUGUCAAUAUAGGUCUGCCUCCUUUCAAGUUUGAUUGCCCAUCUCCAGAUGAUUUGGUGUCUCAUGGAAAACAAUCUUCCAAGGCGGUCUCAAAAGGAGCUCUCUCAAGCAUCACUGAGAAAAAUAGAUCAGUUACAGCUGUUCCAAGAAGUGGAAGACAAGAGAGUUCAUCAGUCCCAUUGGCAAAUGGUAGACGAAUUCCUGCUAAUGAAAGCAGGUCUACUUUUAGUGAAGAUAACUCACACAGUCUAACCAACAGUUUAAGCAUAACUGUAGAAGUAAACUCUGAAGGCUCGAGGAACGUAAAUAAUAGAAGAGCUGUUUCUCCUUCCCAAUACAAGCCUGAGGCAUGGAUGCUUUCUGAUAAUGAAGAAGGGUCAAAGAAUCAACUAAAUCUUGCUAUUGUUGGCCAUGUUGAUUCUGGAAAAUCAACACUGUCAGGGAAACUGCUACAUCUUGUGGGACGAAUAUCCCAGAAAGAAAUGCACAAAUAUGAGAAAGAGGCUAAGUUGAAGGGAAAAGGAUCUUUUGCUUAUGCUUGGGUGCUGGAUGAAAGUGCUGAAGAAAGGGAAAGGGGUAUAACAAUGACUGUGGCUGUUGCUUAUUUUGACUCCAAGAAAUAUCAUGUUGUUGUGCUUGAUUCACCAGGCCAUAAAGAUUUUGUCCCAAACAUGAUAUCUGGUGCUACACAAGCAGAUGCUGCAAUUCUUGUCAUAGAUGCUUCGACUGGUGCAUUUGAGACAGGUAUGGACAGUAAUGGUGGGCAAACAAGGGAGCAUGCACAACUCAUCAGAAGUUUUGGUGUUGAUCAAAUUAUUGUUGCUGUUAAUAAAAUGGAUGCUGUGGGAUACUCCAAGGAGCGGUUUGAAUUAAUAAAACAGCAACUAGGAAUGUUUCUCCGUUCUUGUGGUUUCAAAGACUCCUCCAUGUUGUGGAUCCCCUUGAGCAACAUAGAAAAUCAGAAUUUAGUGACGGCUGCAUCUGAUGGUCGUUUGUCAUCUUGGUAUCGGGGCCCAUAUCUGUUGGAUGCAAUAGAUUCUCUACAUCCUCCUGUUAGGGAUGUCUCAAAGCCACUGCUUCUGCCCAUAUGUGAUGUCAUUAAAUCACAUUCACUAGGGCAGGUGGCUGUCAGUGGUAAAUUGGAGGCUGGAGCCCUUCGAAGUGGUUCGAAGGUUAUUGUCAUGCCAUCAGGUGAUUUAGCGACUGUGCGCUCUCUAGAACGUGAUUCUCAAUCUUGCACAACAGCAAGAGCUGGAGACAAUGUUGCUGUCAGUCUGCAAGGCAUUGAUGGAGGCAAUGUGAUGGCUGGGGGUGUACUGUGUCACCCAGAUUUCCCUGUGGCAGUCGCAACCCAUUUAGAGCUGAAGGUCCUCACAUUGGAAGCUGCUUUGCCCAUCCUUAUUGGUUCUCAGGUGGAGUUUCAUGUACAUCAUGCAAAAGAGGCUGCAAGAGUUGUAAGGAUAUUGUCAUUGCUUGAUCAGAAGACUGGCAAGGUCACAAAAAGGGCACCCCGUUGUCUUACAGCUAAGCAGAGUGCAGUAAUAGAGGUGGUUUUGGAAGGAGCAGUUUGUAUAAGAGAGUUCUCCGAUUGUCGAGCUCUUGGUAGGGUUUUCCUACGAGGAUCAGGAAGAACUGUUGCUGUAGGUAUUGUUACCCGAAUAAUUGAGUAAUUGGUUGUUGGGUGGAGCACAUGCCGUAGCUCUAUGCAUGACCAUGAAGUCCAGAAAUGAUUUGAGAUGUGGCUUCGCAAGUUUGUUUUAUAACCCUCUUUGCAUCAGAUGUGAAAGAGAAGCAAUGGAGAAUAUUAGGCUGGAAACGAGAGACCAGUCUGGACAUCUUCAAAUCUAUCAAUCAUGCCGAAGAAUGUGGAAGUGCUUUGGGAUUGGUUCCUUGAAAAUUAGGGUACCCCGGUGAGCCUAUGGCUCAUGCAUGACCCAGUUCUAGGAGUUCAGUAUCUAGAAUUUUGGUUGGAUAUAAUGGAAAUAGAUCUCCCCCCCCACCCCCACCC